UACGUAGGUGGCAAGCGUUGUCCGGAUUUAUUGGGUUUAAAGGGUGCGUAGGCGGCUAAUUAAGUCAGCGGUGAAAUUCCACAGCUCAACUGUGGAACUGCCAUUGAUACUGGUUGGCUUGAGUACAGAUGAGGUAGGCGGAAUUGACAGUGUAGCGGUGAAAUGCUUAGAUAUUGUCAAGAACACCAAUUGCGAAGGCAGCUCGCUGGGACGUUACUGACGCUGAGACGCGAAAGCGUGGGGAGCAAACAGG
rnacentral:rRNA from 1 species